rnacentral:rRNA from 1 species
UACAGAGGUGGCAAGCGUUGUUCGGAAUUACUGGGCGUAAAGGGCGCGCAGGCGGCCCGGAAAGUCGGAUGUGAAAACUCGGGGCUCAACCCCGAGCGUGCACCCGAUACUGCCGGGCUUGAGGCAGGUAGGGGAGAUCGGAAUUCCUGGUGUAGCGGUGAAAUGCGCAGAUAUCAGGAGGAACACCGGUGGCGAAGGCGGAUCUCUGGGCCUGUCCUGACGCUGAGGCGCGAAAGCUAGGGGAGCGAACAGG